rnacentral:rRNA from 1 species
CAGGCCUAACACAUGCAAGUCGAACGCAGUAGCAAUACUGAGUGGCGAACGGGUGAGUAUAAUGUGGGUAUCUGCCUUUUGGUUUGGAAUAACAUGAGGAAACUUGUGCUAAUACCGGAUAAGCCCUUACGGGGAAAGUUUUAACGCCGAAAGAUGAGCCCGCACUUGAUUAGCUAGUUAGUAGGGUAAAAGCCUACCAAGGCUACGAUCAAUAGCUGAUCUGAGAGGAUGAUCAGCCACACUGGGACUGAGACACGGCCCAGACUCCUACGGGAGGCAGCAGUAGGGAAUAUUGGACAAUGGAGGAAACUCUGAUCCAGCCAUGCCGCGUGUGUGAAGAAGGCCCUAGGGUUGUAAAGCACUUUCAGUAGGGAGGAAACGCCUACGGUUAAUACCCGUGGGCUAUGACGUUACCUACAGAAGAAGCACCGGCUAAUUUCGUGCCAGCAGCCGCGGUAAUACGAAAGGUGCAAGCGUUAAUCGGAAUUACUGGGCGUAAAGCGUACGUAGGCGGUUGAUUAAGCAGGAUGUGAAAGCCCCGAGCUCAACUUGGGAACUGCAUCCUGAACUGGUCAACUAGAGUACAGCAGAGGAGAGUGGAAUUUCUCGUGUAGCGGUGAAAUGCGUAGAUAUGAGAAGGAACACCAGU